AAAAUCUGAUCCCAUUAUCAUGAUUUACGAAUCAUGAAAAUUAUAAAUUGCUCUUGGGACGAAAUCAUGAUUCAGACUCAUGAUUUUUGAAGCUGAGCUACCACUAUCAUGAUUCAGAGCAACCAUUUUCAUGAGCUCCAAAUCAUGACCAUGAAAAGCGUUACGCACACGGUGCACCUGUCAAAACGUGUUUAGCAAAGCUUGUGCAAAGCAUAGUUGGCUGCGCAUUCACGGAAAAGUUGCCCUUUUUUUAAAAAAAAAAGUUCACUUUUAUUGCCGGUUUCCUGCGCCGCUGUUGCUCUACUGUCGUUCCUGCUCUACUAUUCCGUUUCUGCUCCGUUGAUAUCGAGCUAUUCCGGCUCUGCAGAACUACCGGUAAGUGAAAAAAACGCAUGCAAUUCAAUACAAAUGCUGACAAUUUUCCACCGUCUUCUCUGUUUAGCCGUUUCAUUCUGUUCCUUUCCUGCCGUGGCUGUUGCCCGUUCCGGCUCCGCAUUGAGGACAAAUUCUUCCGGCUCCGCUCUACUAACUACCGCCGUUUUAUUGUCCCAGUGCCACUGUCGCCAUUCCCGCCGCGGCUGUUGCCGUCCAAUAGGUGCAUCCGUUCCGGCUCCGCAUUGAGUGACCAGCUCCGCCCUACCAACUACCGCUCCCGAUUUUGUUGCCGUUCCGGACGUUUCGUUUUCAGCCUUGGCUGGUUCCGCCCAGUAGGUGUUCCCGUUCCGACUUCCCCCACAACUACCGGUAAGUGUUACAAAAUGAAUCUAUUUUUGCAUCUGCAAUGGAAAUCAAAUGCUGACCACUUUCCACCGCCUUCUAAUUCGUAAUUAGCUUCCAUUUCCAUUGCUGUUUUGGGUGCCCCAUUCCCACUCCUACUAUCCUGUCCAUAAUCAAAUAGUCGACGUAAGCACUACUGUAGUUUUCAACACAAUCUCUGUUGUCUAGCAACAAAUAAUACAAAUUUAAAUAUUUUUAUCAGGCAGACAUUCAAUCUGCCGCUCCACACAUAAUUGUCCCAUGUUAGUUUUUGACUCUUUCUUUCUGUCUCGACGUUCCUACUAAAAUUUGGCCUGCCUCUUCAACUCA